GAUCAGCAAAAAUAUCUGCCCAUGAGUACUGAAAAUUUAUAUACCCUUUUAUCCAUCCUGAUUUAUUCCCCCUCUUUCGUUCUUUUUCUCUUACUGGGCUAACAAAAUUUCGGAGGACUAUUAGGUAAGUGCUCAUGUUUCAUUGAAGUUAUUUGACUAUAAGCUAUGGUUUUGAUAAUAAAAGUCAGAUGAGAUUAACAAAGUUUGAUUACACACCCUAUUGUUUACCAGCAACUUGCAAAGCAUUCAACGAUAUAGAACUCAUGAAAGAGACCACAUACAGCUCAAUUCGAUAAUAGUUAAUGAACAUCCGGAAAAUUACAUUCAGCUGAAAUAGAUAUUGAAAAGAUAUCAAUUCUUACAUUCUAGAUGAUCACUACAUUAAGGUCUCUCUCUUGUUCCAACAUCACAAGGAUGGCAUAAGAAAAUGUAAACCAUAAAGUUUCACAUCUGUUUGAGAAAUCAGAUUUCCCUGAUAAUAUUGGAAUCAACAUCCUACAUUCUUAUUUACUGCAGUUCAUAUGAUGAAAAACUGUAUCCUGAUCUUCCUUCAUUUGUGGAUUUCAGCUCAAGCUUCUGAAAUGGACUGCAAAUUCAUAGAGGAGAAUUUGGCCAAACAAUUGAGCACAAAAGAGAAAGGGGAGAUGGCAAGAGCAUUGAACAUUGGGAUUACGAAGCAAAGAGGUAUGGUAUAAUCUAGUUAUUCAGUAUUCUGGUCUUCCACUAGAAGAGAUCAAGCAUUUUUCAAGUAUUUGCUCAAAUUAGAUCAUUAACAGAAAUAUGGAAUACCAUGAAGAAAUACAGAAACCUGCUAUUAGGAUCGUAAUAGAAGCCGCUGAUAGAACCAUCGCUGCAAGAGAAGCAAACAUAGUAAAAUCCGGCUAUGGUUAGCCCACAGUCUGUCCCAACAUUUACGAAGUAUUGCUCUUUCCAUCUCUGAACCAGGAAAAUAAAAGCAACAGAAGAGUUACUAAUCAUCAGUCAAUUUAUAAGUAAUUCUUCAAAUUAGUGAAAAUAAAUGAGACUAAAUUACCAUAAAUAUGUAUGGGUAAUUACUCAGGUCCAAAGAUUUCCCCCCAUCAACCUCUACUUGACUCUGAAAAGAAAAAGGGCCAGCUAACUGAGCACAGUUCUGCAUAUAGAUUACAAGCUCUAACUCCUUACCAGUAGUGGUGAAAAAGAUGGAAACUUUGUCCAAUGCCUUUUAUCAUCCUCAGGCCUGUUAAAAAGGAGGAAAUGAAUUACGUCAACCUUCCAACUUUCCACGGAAAGAAUUGCUUAUCAUCAAUUUUAAGAAAAACGGCUCCAUUGUUGAAAAGAAAGACAAAAAGAGAACGACAGAAAGAAACAUACGAUGCUUCCCACUUGCCAGUAUAGAAAGUAUAAUUCUUUGUAUCUACAAUCUCCCCUUCCCAAAAGGUUACCACCUGAGAAACAUUAAAAAGAAAAACAGCAAGGACACAAAAGGUAAUAUCAAAAGUCCCACAGUUCAACUAGAUUUCCCAUGUUGAUUGGUGUCAACAAGAACGCAUUUAGGAAACAAUUGCAGAUGUGAUAACAACCGCUUACAAUCUGAAGAAAAAUGCAUAAUAUCUCUUUAUUACCAUCUAUCAAUUUUGAUUUUGUUUUUUUUGUAUUAAAUAAGUAAAAUCCUAAGCGUUAGUGUCUCUUAUGUAUAUCAUAAAGAUAACUAUCUAAUACAAGAGGUUAAAAAGGGGAUAGUUUUGGCAGGUAAAAUCCAUGAAGAAAUAGAAAUGAAGAUGUUGGCAGGAAUAUAAUCAACCAAAUUAUAAGACAGUGUCCAUGUCAAAGUUAAAAUCUUUAUGCUUUGGAUGGUAGAAGAUUCAUCAAACAUUGUAAAUCAAACGAGCAUUACACUAUGAAACUUAAAGAGGAUGCCUCCCAGCAAACAUUUCAAAACCUAUCCAGAUGGUUAAAGCAUUCAACUUACUGGUGUAUCGGCCAUAGGAACAUUUAGAGCUUCCAUAGUCCCACAAAGAUACCCAUGUUCGAGAUCACAUCCUUGUAUUCGAACAUUAACUCUCCAAGCUUCCUCUUUUUGUAAACUAGAGACAUUUUGUGUGCCAGAAAAUGUCUGCAAAUAAAACUGUGUUUUUAUACAAUCAACUAAAGGAUAACAUAUAGAAAGUUUCACCCAGUUGCAGUAAACUAACCCAAACCAACUAAAGAAACCUAUUCAGAAACUAAAAUCAAACACCUAACAACGAAUUAUCAAAGGAUACAUAAGGCUGUUAAGGAAUACAAUUAAAAGUUUAAAAUCUCAAGAAAUAAGAAAGGGGGAAAUUUCAUUGACCUGUCCAACACUCAAAAGUGUACAAGCUGGAGGUGAAGUAUCUCCGGAAUUUGUACCUUCAUAAUUGAACAAAUAUAUCGAACAGAAAAGCAAAAAGAUAGAAACCUUAACUGCCGAAAUCAGAUUAAACUAUAUAUAUAUAACCCUUAAAAAGCGGAUUUAGAGAAAAAUGGAAAAACCUGAAACUUGAGAAGGUGUAGAGCUCUCCGUGACUCUCACUGGCAUUGUUUAGGAUUUUCGUCGAGUUAAUAAUAUUCGGGAAUUAAAUCGAUCAUCGGCAGCUAGAAGGCGAAGCUAAAGUUUAUAAAGAUCCGAGUAGAAAACGGGUUUAUCCGUUUAUAAAAAUCCGGCUCGCGCAAUAUAUUUUUGUUCCAAAUUAUUUAGUUCUUUAAUUCAAAACUUGAAUUUUGCUUUGCUUAAUUUUUUUUUUAUUUUUAACAUUAUACAUAUAGGUUCUGGCCAUAUUUAUUUCUGUGGCACAAUGUGCUUCAGCACACUCAAAAUCAUGUCUUCCUAUAUUGACAACAAUAUUUAUAUCAAUCGAACUUAUACUCAAUCGAUGCUUUGCUUAAUAUUUUCAUUGGCAUAAAUGAACAACAACAAAAAUUUUCAUUGGAACAACAACAAAAAUUUUCAUUGGCACAAAGGAUUUUGUUUACCAAAUGAACUCUCCUAUGAACUUUUUUUUAAUCGAAACACAAAUAUGAGAAAAUGCAUUGAUGUAAUUUUACUAUAUUUAAGAGAUUUAUUGUGUUAGUAUCACCUUUCAGCCAUGUCCUAAAUCAAUUGAAAACUCUUAAUUUUAUAAAAUAAUAAAAAACUAUUGACGAUAUUUUUUUCAUUUCAAAUCAUAUAAAAUUUAAAAAAUGUGCUUGAUGGAAUUCAAACCUAAAACACUAUAAUUUUCAAUGUCUUAACCAUUUCAAUUAAAGCUCUAUUUGAUCCUUAAAUCAAUUUUUUUUAUAAAGAUAUUUGUUAUAUAUUUUUUUCCACCCACAUCUUGGUAUGCAAUAAUCUAGACAAAGUUAAAAGUUUUAAGAGCUUGGAACCAUGGUUGACUUUUGAGCUUUGUCUAAUUCACUUAUUUUCAAUGUCUUGUUUGAUGUUCUCUAGUUAUUGUAAGAUUGAUGAACGACAUUUUCAUCCAUUGAAUAUAUGAGAAACUUAGUAGUUGCAUCUAAUGUACUUUGGUGUGUUUUCUCUCUAAUAUGCGAAUAAACAAUUUAUCUCCAUUCCAAAUUGUGCAUCCAUUUAUUACAUUGUGCAAUAAUUUUGGCAAUUUCAUUCUCAUUAUUUGUAGCUUUGUUGUAAGGAGGUUCCUCAAAGAAAAGGAGGUUGUCUCUUAUCAUGUUAUUUCUUUGUUGGAAUUUUCAAGUAGAAAGAUAAUUCCAAAGAGUUCCUAGUCUCGCUUCCAUUCAAUAAUCAGGUUGUGAUCUACCCUAACAAAGUUCUCAUUUAAGUUUUCUAACAUCUUCUUUCUACUUGUUUUUCAAUUGAAAUAUUUUGGAAAGCAUUCACAACGUGUUGAUAAAUGUAUUUUGCUUAUCGAAUUGUUGCCAUAACAUUGGUUUGCAUCUUUUCAAAGAAGUUUUUUUUUAUGCUGGAGCGAUAUUGACCACAAGGUGCAGGCAAUUUAUUUGACGUAUAGAUAUUGAUUCAAGUUUAUUCUAUUAUUAUUUAUACAGAUGCACUUCAAUAUCCAUUUUUUUUAUUGAAGAGAUUCUUAAAUUGUGACUUCAUAGACCACUCUUGCUACAGAGCAAGCAAUGAAGAGAUGGUCUUUUAAUUCUUCUACAUCAUUGUACGAUGGAAAAUCCAUCUUGCCAGUGUUAAUUCUUUUCUAAAUUUCCCCUUCACAAGGUAGACAAUUGUUAUAGGCUUUUUAGAAAAGAAUCACAAUUUUAAAAGGUAUUUUUAAAGUCCACAAUCUAUCCCAUAAUUUCCUAUUUCAAUUUACUCAUUAUUUUUCCUAUUGUCCUCUAGAUUUACAUCAAAGUUGUAAGUUGGUUUUAUCAUAAAACAACCAUUAAAGGAAUGUUUCUAGAUCACUUGAUAAUUAUACUUACAAAAUGGAAUUUUCUUACAACCAAAUCGAGUUAACAUCUAGAUUUUGAAAACCUUUUAAUUUGAUGGAAUGAGUACAUGGCCUUUCCUAGUCUUUAUGAUGUGAAACAUCAUCUUACAAAAUCAAGCCUUUCAAGAGAAUUUCCAUACCAAUUAGUGUACUCUUUGAACUCCUUGAGUGACUUUUCUUACAUGUUUCUUCCAUGAAUUUCUCAUCAUGACAAUAUUUCUUUGACUAAGGUGUUAGAGAUGAGCCAAUUGUCAUAUUUGACAAUUCUUCAUGCCUACUUAACAAGCAUGGCUCUACUCAAGCUUUAUGGAUUUUUGAAACCCAAACCUCCAUUCAUUUAUUGAUGAAAAUUGUUCCAAUUUGCAAGUGCAAUAUACAUUCCUUCUCUUUAUGUCCCCAUAAAAAAUUCUUAAUGAUUUCACCAACUUUGAAACAUAUCUUUUUAGGGGCUUGGAAACAAGAUGUGUUAGUAAAAAUCUCCAGUGAGGAAAAUCUCGAACACACGAACAAAACUCGAAUAGAAAAAGAAGAAAUAGGAUAAGGCUCCAAGACGUGUAUGAAGCCACUAUCUUUAAGGUUAUAUUCGCCACCACCUAUCUUUGGUGAGCAAAAGAGUUUCAAGAAAAUUAACCUCGACAAUACAAUGAAGCCAAUGACUAUUUGCGUUUUGCACUGAUGAUAAUAGUCUACUAAGCACUGAGCAAUGUAUAACAAGAAACUCAAAUUCUACAAAGGAUUUCUGCAGUAAUACUUUAUAAAAUAAUCUAAUAAUUUUAGAAAAUAGAAGAAGGAAAGAAAGAAUUUUAGAAUUUGUUGGUGUUUUCCAAAUGAAAUCUCAUUCUUAUUUAUAAGAAUUUUCAUAUCUCUACAUCUUUCGAUAGGUGUCUUUCUGAAUAAUAACGUCUUUAAAAUAAACACAUAAUUAUUCCUUUAAUAUUAUAACUAUUCAAAUGAUAUUGUUUGAAUAUUUAUAAUUCUUUUCCAAAAAUUAAAUAAUAUAACUUUUGACUAAUGACAAAAAAAUUUAUCUUUUAAUUAAUUACACUCAUUCAUUUAUAGUUAUUGGAACACUAUAAAUAUUUGAAAAUGUUCCAACAAUCUCCCCCAUCUUUAAAAUAUUUUAGAUUUUGAUAUUCUUGGAAAUUAAUUUGCAUAAAUGAAGGUGUCUUACGAUUGAACCUUCACUUAGUGAAAAUAUGUUAUAGUUAAUCGAAAUUGCAUGGCAGACUAAGCUUUGAACCAACUAUUCCAUUUGAUUAACCAAACACAUCUUCUCACACAAUGAUUUCAGCAUCGGUCAAUGCAUAGUGUCUAGGGACACUAUUAUGGCCAUGUGUUUGUGUCCUCUUUUCAUGAGUGCUGUUAGAGCCAAGUCUUUGAGCUCCUAGAAGCGGUCACAUUUCCACUCACAUAGGUAGAUCCCAUCAAGAGUGUUCCUGUAAUUAUAACACUCUAACAUAUUUAUGUUAUGGGUCCAUUAAGAGUACAUUACUCAUCCUUCCCUUAUCAUUACAGGUACCUAGCACUUUAAUCUUAGGAUGGAUUUAUUUAUAGUGCUAAUAAUCACAUACUAAUGAUGUAUUUUGACUCAUUGAACUCAAGACUUGACAUUAUACCAAGCGUUGAGUCAAGUUUCCGUCAUGGGUGACUCUAAUUAAUAGGCUUGAGUCUCAUCCCUUUUGAGGUCCUUUUUACUACAUCUCUAGCAAGACUUUUUGUUAAAGGAUUCGCCAAAUUUUUACUUGACCUCACAUAAUUAAUAGUGAUCACUCCAUCAGAGAUUAAUUUUCAGACAUAGCUAUGUCUAAAUCCAAUGUGUCUAGACUUUUCAUUAUAUACUUAGCUAUAUGCCUUUUCUAGAGUAGCCUCACUAUCACAACGGAUAGAAAUAGGUGAAAUUGGCUUAGGCCAUAAAGGUACAUCAUAAAACAAAUUUCUUAACCAUUCUGAUUCUUUAGAUGUAGCGACUAAUGCAAUAAAUUCUGUUGCCAUGGUGGAAUCAGUAACACAUGUUUGUUUCUUGAAACCCCAAGAAAUGGCUCGUCCACCAAGAAUGAAGAUCCAUCCACUAGGAGAUGCAUGAUCUUCCAAACUUGUAAUCCAACUAGCAUCCGAAUACCCUUCUAAAACUGGAGGAUAUCCAUUAUAUCACAUUUCAUAGUUAAUUUUUUUAAGUACCUAAGUACUCUAUUCAAAGCUUGCCAAUACAAACUACUGGGAUUACUUGUGUACCUAUUCAAUUUCCCAACAACAUAUGCAAUAUCUGGUCUUGUACAAGUCAUUAUGUAUAUAAGCCAACCAAUUGGACUUGCAUAUUUCAAUUGAUCAAUUUUCCUACCAACAUUAGAUACUAAUUUUAUUUAAGGGUUCAUGGGUGUAGAUGCUGGUGUACAGUUGAAAAGAUCAAACUUUUUAAACACCAUUUCAAUGUAAUGUGAUUGUGAUAAAGCUAUAGUGCUUUCAUCUCGAGUUAUUUUAAUCCCAAGAAUAACAUCUGCUACACCCAUAUCCUUCAUAGUAAAGUUGUUUGACAAGAAUUUCUUUGUAUUUUCUAUUUGUUCCAAAUUCGUGCCAAAAAUGAGCAUGUCAUCUACAUAUAAGCAAAUUAUGACACAUUUUCCAUUUUCAAAUUUGCUAUAUAUGCACUUAUCGAAUUCAUUUAUUUUAUAGCCAUUAAUUAAAAAAACCUCGUCAAACUUUUGGUGCCAUUGUUUUGGUGAUUGUUUAAGUCUAUAUAAAGAUUUAAUAAGCUUACAUAACUUUUGCUCCUGUCCUGGGACAACAAAUCUUUCCAAUUGUUCCAUGUACACUUCUUUUCCAAUUCACAAUUUAAAAAUGCACUUUUAACAUCCAUUUGGUGAAAAACCAAAUUAAAUAUAGAAGUAAUUGAUAUUAAGAGUCUAAUUGUGCAAUUCUUGCUACUAGAGCAUAAGUAUCAAAGUAACCAAUACCUUGUUUUUGUGUAAAACCUUUGGCUACCAAUCUUGCUUUAAAUUUAUCAAUGGUUCCAUCGACCUUCAUUUUCUUUUUGAAGAUUCAUUUACAACCUAUUGGUUUGAAACCCAAUGGAAGAUCAACUAAGAUCCAAGUUUGGUUUCCCAUUAUUGAAUCCAUCUCAUCAUUUAUUGCUUCUUUCCAAAAAGCAUAGUCUUCAUAUUUCAUUGCCUCUUCAAAUGUAAUAGGACCAGAUUUCGUAUUAUAAUUAUAAGGUAUCUUAUUGCAUAUACUUUCACAUUUUUCUUCUACAAGAAACAUAAUGAAAUCUGGUCCAAAAUCUGACCUUUUUAAUCCACUUACUUUUUCUUAAUUAUUGACAAUAUUCAUCAUUAUUAUCAAUUUGUUCUAAUGGAAUCUCAUUCUCAUUUGAAGAAUGAAUCAAUUGUUGUGGUUGUAAUUGUCUUAAAAUAGAAUUAAAUCUACUUUCAUCAAAAAUAGCAUCUCCUGAUUCAAUAACAAUAUUAACUGAAAUUGAAUCAUUUGGUUCAAUUACCAUGAACUUAUAUGCUUUGCUAUUAUGUGCAUAUCCUAUAAAUAUGCUCUUGUAAGUAAUGGAAUUGUAAAUCGUGAGAUAUAAUAAAUUUUGUGAGACAAGGUCAGAAUGAAUUCGGGUUCUCCUGUUCUGACUUUGGAAAAUCAUAAAAAAUUGGAGAAAAAUAAUUAGGUGUUAAAAUUUACAAGUUUAAAUUAUUAAUGAGUCUAUUUUCAAUAGAAACAAAUGGAAACAUCAUCCAAAUUUUGUACUCAGAGAUAAUUAAUUUUUAGCAAAUAAAGGUCAAAACUAUCAGACAGCAGAACAAGGGUAAGUUUUAAGAUUUUACUGUAAUUAUUGGCUAAACCAAAAAUUUUGAAAAUUUUAUGGUAGAAAAUUAUUUGAGUCUAGUUUCAAAGACAUCAAGCAGAUUUCAAUUUGGAAUUCUGUAGCUCAAGAUAUAAAUAAUUUAGUAACAGUGACUCAAGUAGACAGCUUUGAAGGAACAUAUAAGUAAAUAGUGAAAACAUAUAUGAAUAUUUAGCUAGCAUGGGUUACAUUAAAUGGACUACGCGGCCAAGGCCAAUUUGGGUCGAGUGGGUCACACGAGCAGACCACAUGGGCAUGUGAGCCCAUUUUCACUGAAUUGAUUGCUAAGGUUGCACGCGUCACCCAAGUCGACUGUGAACCUACUGUAGGGUCGGUAAGCAUCAUUUAGACACCUAAUUGUACGAACUGACUGUUUGAUUUAUAUAUGUGUUGAGCAUGAUGAUAGUAUGCUUGUAUACUAAACUGGUUAUAUGUACUGAUGUCCUAAGAUAGCAUGUCAUGACUUGUAUGUUGCAUUGUAAGGGGUUGGGUUGAUUAUAUUUGGAGGAAGUGUACUGAAAGGCUCUUAAACCUAACAUACUGGCAGCUCAGCUGCAAAUUAUUGUUUUGUGCCGCAUUCGGUACUACUUGGAGUGUAGGGAUGGGUGGGUUGAUUUGAUCCCCACAUGGAGUGUAGGGUUGGACGGAGAUGGUGUGUAGAGGCUGGUUGGGUAGGACUUUGUUACUAAAUACUGCAUGAUUGCUACUGAUACUGUGAGGGGCUAAGGCCCUACUACAUAUUUGAUAAUGUAUUGAGAUGGGCUAAGGCCCAAACUGUUACUAAUACUGAAAAAGGGCGUAGGCCCAGGACUGCUUUAACUGUGCACUGUGAUUUGCUAUUGUUUGUUUUCUAUGGGAUUACACAUUGAGUUUUUGUAAACUCGCCCCUUUUGUUUAAAUGUGCAUAGGUAAUCCCCAGAUCUAGACAAAUCGGUGCAGCGAAGGACUCGGCGGUGACCACAGUUUUGGACUUUCAUGGUUUUUAACCCAUAUUUACGAUAAUUGGUUUUAUUUCUAUAUUAUUUUUACUGGCUAAGUUUUUGGGUUGUAAUUGGACUUUUGGACUUUGAUUUUGGGUUUUAAUUAUCUUUACCUUAUGGAUUACAACUGCUAG
rnacentral:lncRNA from 1 species